AACGAACGCUGGCGGCAGGCCUAACACAUGCAAGUCGAACGUGAAGCUGGAGCUUGCUCCAGUGGAAAGUGGCAGACGGGUGAGUAACGCGUGGGAAUCUACCCAAUGGUACGGAAUAACUCAGGGAAACUUGUGCUAAUACCGUAUGAGCCCUUCGGGGGAAAGAGUUUAUCGCCAUUGGAUGAGCCCGCGUUAGAUUAGUUUGUUGGUGGGGUAAUGGCCUACCAAGACUACGAUCUAUAGCUGGUCUGAGAGGAUGAUCAGCCACACUGGGACUGAGACACGGCCCAGACUCCUACGGGAGGCAGCAGUGGGGAAUAUUGCACAAUGGGCGCAAGCCUGAUGCAGCCAUGCCGCGUGAGUGAAGAAGGCCUUAGGGUUGUAAAACUCUUUCACCGGUGAAGAUAAUGACGGUAGCCGGAGAAGAAGCCCCGGCUAACUCCGUG
rnacentral:rRNA from 1 species